rnacentral:snRNA from 1 species
GUUGAGUUGGCAGAAUAUAUACUAGAAUUGGAACAAUACAAGGAUCAUCUGGCCCUUGGGCAAGGAUGGCAUGCAAACUGAAGAAGUGGUUCAUAUUUUU